rnacentral:rRNA from 1 species
AUUGAACGCUGGCGGCAGGCCUAACACAUGCAAGUCGAACGAGUGGCGGACGGGUGAGUAAUGUCUGGGAAACUGCCUGAUGGAGGGGGAUAACUACUGGAAACGGUAGCUAAUACCGCAUACCAUCAGAUGUGCCCAGAUUGGAUUAGCUAGUAGGUGGGGUAACGGCUAACCUAGGCGACGAUCCCUAGCUGGUCUGAGAGGAUGACCAGCCACACUGGAACUUAGACACGGUCCAGACUCCUACGUGAGGCAGCAGUGGGGAAUAUUGCACAAUGGGCGCAAGCCUGAUGCAGCCAUGCCGCGUGUACGAAGAAGGCCUUCGGGUUGUAAAGUACUUUCAGCGGGGAGGCGUUACCUGCAGAAGAAGCACCGGCUAACUCCGUGCCAGCCGCCGCGGUAAUAC